rnacentral:rRNA from 1 species
UAAUAGCUCACUGGUCGAGUCGGCCUGCGCGGAAGAUGUAACGGGGCUAAACCAUGCACCGAAGCUGCGGCAGCGACACUAUGUGUUGUUGGGUAGGGGAGCGUUCUGUAAGCCUGUGAAGGUGUACUGUGAGGUAUGCUGGAGGUAUCAGAAGUGCGAAUGCUGACAUAAGUAACGAUAAAGCGGGUGAAAAGCCCGCUCGCCGGAAGACCAAGGGUUCCUGUCCAACGUUAAUCGGGGCAGGGUGAGUCGACCCCUAAGGCGAGGCCGAAAGGCGUAGUCGAUGGGAAACAGGUUAAUAUUCCUGUACUUGGUGUUACUGCGAAGGGGGGACGGAGAAGGCUAUGUUGGCCGGGCGACGGUUGUCCCGGUUUAAGCGUGUAGGCUGGUUUUCCAGGCAAAUCCGGAAAAUCAAGGCUGAGGCGUGAUGACGAGGCACUACGGUGCUGAAGCAACAAAUGCCCUGCUUCCAGGAAAAGCCUCUAAGCAUCAGGUAACAUCAAAUCGUACCCCAAACCGACACAGGUGGUCAGGUAGAGAAUACCAAGGCGCUUGAGAGAACUCGGGUGAAGGAACUAGGCAAAAUGGUGCCGUAACUUCGGGAGAAGGCACGCUGAUAUGUAGGUGAAGUCCCUCGCGGAUGGAGCUGAAAUCAGUCGAAGAUACCAGCUGGCUGCAACUGUUUAUUAAAAACACAGCACUGUGCAAACACGAAAGUGGACGUAUACGGUGUGACGCCUGCCCGGUGCCGGAAGGUUAAUUGAUGGGGUCAGCGCAAGCGAAGCUCUUGAUCGAAGCCCCGGUAAACGGCGGCCGUAACUAUAACGGUCCUAAGGUAGCGAAAUUCCUUGUCGGGUAAGUUCCGACCUGCACGAAUGGCGUAAUGAUGGCCAGGCUGUCUCCACCCGAGACUCAGUGAAAUUGAACUCGCUGUGAAGAUGCAGUGUACCCGCGGCAAGACGGAAAGACCCCGUGAACCUUUACUAUAGCUUGACACUGAACAUUGAGCCUUGAUGUGUAGGAUAGGUGGGAGGCUUUGAAGUGUGGACGCCAGUCUGCAUGGAGCCGACCUUGAAAUACCACCCUUUAAUGUUUGAUGUUCUAACGUUGACCCGUAAUCCGGGUUGCGGACAGUGUCUGGUGGGUAGUUUGACUGGGGCGGUCUCCUCCUAAAGAGUAACGGAGGAGCACGAAGGUUGGCUAAUCCUGGUCGGACAUCAGGAGGUUAGUGCAAUGGCAUAA